rnacentral:rRNA from 1 species
AUUGAACGCUGGCGGCAUGCUUUACACAUGCAAGUCGAACGGUAACAGGCCGCAAGGUGCUGACGAGUGGCGAACGGGUGAGUAAUGCAUCGGAACGUGCCCAGUCGUGGGGGAUAACUACUCGAAAGAGUAGCUAAUACCGCAUACGAUCUAUGGAUGAAAGCGGGGGACCGUAAGGCCUCGCACGAUUGGAGCGGCCGAUGUCAGAUUAGGUAGUUGGUGGGGUAAAGGCUCACCAAGCCAACGAUCUGUAGCUGGUCUGAGAGGACGACCAGCCACACUGGGACUGAGACACGGCCCAGACUCCUACGGGAGGCAGCAGUGGGGAAUUUUGGACAAUGGGCGCAAGCCUGAUCCAGCAAUGCCGCGUGCAGGAAGAAGGCCUUCGGGUUGUAAACUGCUUUUGUACGGAACGAAACGGCUCUGGUUAAUACCCGGGGCUAAUGACGGUACCGUAAGAAUAAGCACCGGCUAACUACGUG